rnacentral:rRNA from 1 species
GUUAGGAAUAUUGGACAAUGGGCGCAAGCCUGAUCCAGCCAUGCCGCGUGAGUGAUGAAGGCCUUCGGGUUGUAAAGCUCUUUAGCCGAUGAUUAUAAUGACUGUAGUCGGAAAAUAAGCCCCGGCUAACUUCGUGCCAGCAGCCGCGGUAAUACGAAGGGGGCGAGCGUUAUUCGGAAUCACUGGGCGUAAAGCGUGCGUAGGCGGCUUUGCAAGUUGGGAGUGAAAGCCCAGGGCUAAACCCUGGAAUUGCUCUCAAAACUGCAAGGCUCGAAUUCGGGAGAGGAUAGCGGAAUUGUCAGUGUAGCAGUGAAAUGCGUAGAUAUUGACAGGAACACCAGUGGCGUAAGCGGCUAUCUGGACCGAUAUUGACGCUGAGGCACGAAAGCGUGGGGAUCAAACAGGAUUAGAUACCCGAGUAGUCC